rnacentral:rRNA from 1 species
AUUGAACGCUGGCGGCAGGCCUAACACAUGCAAGUCGAACGAGUGGCGGACGGGUGAGUAAUGUCUGGGAAACUGCCCGCUGGAGGGGGAUAACUACUGGAAACGGUAGCUAAUACCGCAUACCAUCGGAUGUGCCCAGAUGGGAUUAGCUAGUAGGUGGGGUAACGGCUCACCUAGGCGACGAUCCCUAGCUGGUCUGAGAGGAUGACCAGCCCACCUGGAACGGGGACACGGUCAAGACUCCUACGGGAGGAAGCAGUGGGGAAUAUUGGACAAGGGGCGCAAGCCUGAGGCAGCCAUGCCGCGUGGAUGAAGAAGGCCUUCGGGUGGUAAAGUACUUUCAGCGAGGAGGCGUUACUCGCAGAAGAAGCACCGGCUAACUCCGUGCCAGCAGCCGCGGUAAUAC